CUACGGGUCGCUGCAGUGGGGAAUAUUGCACAAUGGGCGCAAGCCUGAUGCAGCCAUGCCGCGUGUAUGAAGAAGGCCUUCGGGUUGUAAAGUACUUUCAGCGGGGAGGAAGGGAGUAAAGUUAAUACCUUUGCUCAUUGACGUUACCCGCAGAAGAAGCACCGGCUAACUCCGUGCCAGCAGCCGCGGUAAUACGGAGGGUGCAAGCGUUAAUCGGAAUUACUGGGCGUAAAGCGCACGCAGGCGGUUUGUUAAGUCAGAUGUGAAAUCCCCGGGCUCAACCUGGGAACUGCAACUGAUACUGGCAAGCUAGAGUCUCGUAGAGGGGGGUAGAAUUCCAGGUGUAGCGGUGAAAUGCGUAGAGAUCUGGAGGAAUACCGGUGGCGAAGGCGGCCCCCUGGACGAAGACUGACGCUCAGGUGCGAAAGCGUGGGGAGCAAACAGGAUUAGAUACCCUUGUAGUC
rnacentral:rRNA from 1 species